rnacentral:rRNA from 1 species
UCUACGGGUGGCAGCAGUGAGGAAUAUUGGUCAAUGGCCGUAAGGCUGAACCAGCCAAGUAGCGUGAGGGAAGACUGCCCUAUGGGUUGUAAACCUCUUUUAUGCGGGGAUAAAGGUGUCCACGUGUGGAUGUUUGCAGGUACCGCAUGAAUAAGGACCGGCUAAUUCCGUGCCAGCAGCCGCGGUAAUACGGAAGGUCCGCGCGGUAUCCGGAUUUAUUGGGUUUAAAGGGUGCGUAGGCGGACAGUCAAGGCAGCGGUGAAAAUGCGGUGCUCAACGCCGUACAGCCGUUGAAACUGGCAGUCUUGAGUGGGCGAGAAGUAUGCGGAAUGCGUGGUGUAGCGGUGAAAUGCAUAGAUAUCACGCAGAACUCCGAUUGCGAAGGCAGCAUACCGGCGCCCGACUGACGCUGAGGCACGAAAGCGUGGGUAUCGAACAGGAUUAGAUACCCUAGUAGUC